rnacentral:rRNA from 1 species
AAUGAACGCUGGCGGCGUGCUUAACACAUGCAAGUCGUACGAGAACGCUUCUGCUUGCAGAGGCUAGUAAAGUGGCGCACGGGUGAGUAACGCGUGGGUAAUCUACCCCUGGAUUCGGGAUAACCCUUCGAAAGGAGUGCUAAUACCGGAUGAUAUCAUUUAGACUGCGGUUUAGGUGAUGAAAGAUGGCCUCUCCACGGAAGCUAUUGUUUGGGGAUGAGCCCGCGUACCAUUAGCUAGUUGGUGGGGUAACGGCCUACCAAGGCAGCGAUGGUUAGCUGGUCUGAGAGGAUGAUCAGCCACACUGGAACUGACACACGGUCCAGACUCCUACGGGAGGCAGCAGUGAGGAAUUUUGCGCAAUGGGGGAAACCCUGACGCAGCAACGCCGCGUGAGUGAAGAAGGCUUUCGGGUCGUAAAGCUCUGU